UACAAACCAAGUUCAUGGCACAACUUGACAGAUACUCAGCUGACCUAACCAAGCAAGAGAGGCGGGGCUGCUGGGAAGAUUAGACACAUCAUGGAGAGGAAGGCUCAGUGUGAUGACAUAAACUACAGACGAGAACGUGUCCUAAGAAGCCUCUGUGUCUACCUCAAUGAGAAUGAUGAAACUCUCAUCAAUGAAUACAUGAAUCGCAACGUGGAAGAAGCGGACAGGGAGUCGGCCACCAUUAAGACUUCAUGUCGUCCGGAAAGAGGGUGCUGAUGCAGGGGAAGAGCCUUAGCAUGUCAGAGUGGUGAACGAGGGUGUGGAGCUGCUGAGCAACCUGGGAAGCGUUUCUUUUUGAUUUUCCAUGCUUUUUGGACUGAUUUACUGUCUCAACAUGAGCUACCCACAAGAGCUCAAAUUCACAUUUGAGUUCCUCCAGAAGGUGCUGAUGAACUUGGAUGGCAACAAUCUUUCUCCUAAGGUUCAAGGUUCAAAUUAAGAUGCUCCAGUGAACUCACUUAUAGGUCUGAAGGCCUCAUGUUUUAAAAUUUAUUUUAGA